GAUGAAGAACGCAGUGAAAUUCGAUACGUAAUGUGAAUUGCAGAAUUCAGUGAAUCAUCGAAUCUUUGAACGCAUAUUGCGCUCUCUGGUAUUCCGGAGAGCAUGCUUGUUUGAGUAUCAGUAAACACCUCAACUUCCAUAUCUUUUUUGAAAUGGGAGUUGGACUUGAGUGAUCCCAACGCUUUUCCUCACCGAAAAGUGGCGGGUUACUUGAAAUGCAGGUGCAGCUGGACUUUUCUCUGAGCUAUAAGCAUAUCUAUUUAGUCUGCCUAAAAAACAGAUUAUUACCUUUGCUGCAGCUAACAUAAAGGAGAUUAGUUCUUGUGCUGACUGAUGCAGGAUUCACAAAGACAGGCUUCGGCCGACUUUGUAAACUCGAUCUCAAAUCAAGUAAGACUACCCGCUGAACUUAAGCAUAUCAAUAAGCGGAGGA
rnacentral:misc_RNA from 1 species